ACAGUUUUCACAUUUCAGAAUCAUACUAUUUACCAAUGCAAAAAUGAUAAGCAGAAGGACAUGUUUUUCUCAAUUACUGAAGUACACAUAACAAACUAUUUUCAACACAAAAUACAAUCUUCCAUCUAAACAGUAUAGGGGGCAUUGAAUGACUUGAAGUUUCAUAUAAAGGCUGGAUUUUUUUAUUUUAGCAAGAAGAGUGUCAAACCUGUGUUCAGGAUUGAAGAGAUUGAAUAUCCCUAUGAUUCACCAUUUGUUAACAAAUGGGAGAAAAGUGAAGUUUCAUAUAAAGGCUGGAUUUUGUUAUUUUAGCAAGAAGAGUGUCAAACCUAUGUUCAGGAUUGA
rnacentral:lncRNA from 1 species